UAUAUUGUUGAGAUGAUAGCAAAGUCAGUCUCCAUGAUCCUUGCCACAGUGCUGACAAAUCUUGUCAUGUCGUCACUCUAUCAGGGCUUAGGAAGGAACCUAAGUUAUGGGUUUUAGUCUCUUAUUCUGUUUGUUCAGUGCUGUAGGUGUUGGCCUACAAUGUAGAACUAGGGGUCUGGAGUUACCCACUGCUGAGGAAAAAAUACAGAGGUUCCUCUCUAUUAACUAUGUCUUAGUCAAGACUGCUAAAUAAGUGUCAAGCUCGAAGACAUAUAGUUGUUAUCUGAUCUCAGGACGAAGAUCCCAUUCGAACCUUCUCGUCUUCCUACCUUCAUCUGUCAUGCUCUCAGGGAAGUACCGUCGUAACUCUAGGAAUUUUCGAGUAUAUUCUGAUACU
rnacentral:lncRNA from 1 species